rnacentral:tRNA from 1 species
GCCCGGGUGGCUCAGUUGGUUAAGUGUCUGACUUUGGCUCAGGUCAUGAUCUCACAGUUUGUGGGUUCAAGACCCACGUUGGGCU